UACGGGGGGGGCAAGCGUUGUUCGGAAUUACUGGGCGUAAAGGGCUCGUAAGUGGCCAACUAAGUCAGACGUGAAAUCCCUCGGCUUAACCGGGGAACUGCGUCUGAUACUGGAUGGCUUGAGUUCGGGAGAGGGAUGCGGAAUUCCAGGUGUAGCGGUGAAAUGCGUAGAUAUCUGGAGGAACACCGGUGGCGAAGGCGGCAUCCUGGACCGACACUGACACUGAGGAGCGAAAGCCAGGGGAGCAAACGGG
rnacentral:rRNA from 1 species